GGCGGGGGAGGGGCGAAUUGGGGGGUGGGGGAACGUGGGGCUUGCAGCCUGGCAGGUUCAUUUAUGCUAGUUAGGACUUCCCAGGGGGUUGUCUUUCUCCUAGAAUGGAGUGUUUAUUUUUUUUAAUUGAUGUGCUGUUUCAUUUAGCGCUUGUAUGGAAUUCAUGCUGGGGCUGUAAUUACUGUAAUCUCUGGAUCUAGCAUUUCAGUUGGCCAGGAGGGUGGCAAAGUGCAUGUACUCGUUUUUCCCCCUCUUCCACCUCCUUUCUCUUCUUCCCCUCCCCCUCCCUCUCCCUUAAUCUCUACCUUCCCCCCUCCCCUCCUUUCCCUCCCUCCCCUUUCCCUCCCACCCGGUCUCACAUCCCUCUCCCUUUUUCUAUCCUCCUCCCUCUCUUGUUGUCUUGUCAAGAUUUUUGCCAUUUGUCAGGUUUCACAGGUGUGAGUAGAGCUUGACAACCAAAGUUGUUGAGAGUUUGGAAAUAGAAGAAGAAAUAAAGGUGCGUUUGAGGCCAGUUAACUUUUUCGGCGGCGGCGGUGGUGGUGGUAGUUGUUGAAAAACAACUCUCACGAAACAAAAAUUACUAGCACAUUUGUAUAUUGCUUGAGAUAAUGGACUCUAUGUCUUCCUCCUCCUGUUACUUCUAAUUUAGCAACCUCACUUUGCACCACGUUCUAAACAGAGAGGCAGACCGCCCCUUCCCGCGCCGCACUCCCCCCUCUCCCCCCACCACUGUUGGGCAAGUUCUGUAUACUCACCAUACCCCCCACCCACCUCAGCUGAAGUCUAGUUAGAACCUAUCUGUAUCUCAACUGAAGUCUAGUUAGUUAGAACCUCUUUAUACUGAAAAACAACACUUCCUUAGCACCUUAGUUUGAAAAAACUGAAUUCCAUAAGAUUUUGAAAUUCAAAGGCUUCAGAAUUAGCUGAUUUAGUAGAAAAUGGUCUAUUAAAAAUGUAAAGACUCGACUUUUACUAGGUCUUUCUAUCAAUUCUUUUCCCUUCUCCUAAUUGGUAUUCUCUUUUAUGGCUUAUUGAAUGUAGAAAGUUACCUAUUUCUUUUGUUGGUACCUUAUUAAUAGAGGGCCAUUCUCCAGAACAUUCAACUGCAGAGUAACAACUGGUAAUUCCUAGAGUUAGCGUUCUGAACGCAGUUGUGAAGGCAACGCGCACCCCUCCCCCUCCAUGUCCCAUACUCAGCGUUGCUUGGCCCAGACCACAGAUGGGAGAGGCUGGUUUCCAAAAACAGCACAGAUGGUGAAAAGUUUCUACUGCUUUUCUUCACCAGGGAAAUGUCAAAUAGCGAAGUUUAGAAUUACACUAUAUAAAUUUACUAGAAUUAGGUGGAAACAAAUGACAUUUGAAAAUUGAGGCUGAAAAUAGUUAAUUUUGGCUUUUAAUUUUUUUCUUUUUUCCUUUGAGUCAAGAUGAAAACUGUGAUGAUGUGGAAUGUGGAACUUUUUGGUAAAGGAUUCUGUGUCUGCUGUAACAAGGCCAACUUGUGACUGGAUAGAGAUAAAUGGGGCAAAUAUGUGUCACUGGCCAGGAAUCAGAUUCUCAUUUUACAUGCAACUGCCAUUUUGAAAAAUGGCAACUGUACUGUCAUUACUUAAUUUUACAAUUAUUCUAAAAUAAGUUCUAAAAAUCAAUAAUUGAUUUUUCCCCUCAAUCACACUAGAUACUGAAACUCUUAUGACAGAACACACUUUGGGAUCUUUCAGGUACAAUAAAGACCUCCUAAGUAAAACUUGCUUAGCCAAGAAGGACACAAUUAAUUUAAUGUAUCAAUAAGUCUAGAAGCAGGAAGGUCCACCACUGGUUCAUUCUGUCACUCAACAAUGUCAGGCCUGAUAUGGGUUUCUAGUCUCUUGGCUUGCCCUGUAGUUACAUGGGGCCUCCUUCUGCGGAAUCAUUGCAUUUCACAGGACAGCAGCUGAGCAGGAAGACUGUCAGGACCUCCCCUUGUGCAGCUCACUUAUUGGAAAAGAAAACCCUUCCUGCGAGGACUUUGACUAGCUUCCCCUUAGAUCUCACUUGUUUGAACCUGUCACCCCCCUUUUAACUGCAAGGAAGACUGUAAAGCUAAGGUCUGUGGGUGGCUAGUGCUCUUGUGGCAAAGAGGCAGAGGAGGGGAGACAAACAGCACUCAUUCACACAUCACUAUUUGGAAUUAACUUUCAAGCAAUAUUAUAUAGCCAACAUUCCUAGUUUUCCAAAGUAUUUUCUGCAGGGCUAUGAAUCAUUGAGGUUCAAGAAGAACUUAGUACUUACAUUUUCCCCCCCAUUUUGAAGUUCUCACCAUACAGUUCUCUAUACAGUUGAUACAAAUGUCAAACAGCUGGCUACUUAUUUUAUUUAAAUGUGUAUAAACUUCAUAGUGUAAUUCCUUAUUUCCUUUUUAUUAAGCCUCUCCCCUCCCUUUUGGAGACUUCAUUAAAAACAUGAACA